rnacentral:lncRNA from 1 species
UGCUUGAUCUGCAUCUCGGCGAAGAGCUUGCUCAGCACCACCGUCUGCCGCCGCGCCUUGUCCAUCGCGGCGGAGGCCAGCGCGUUGAUGUCCUUGGCUUGGGCCAUCUUGGGGUCGGAGCUGACCGUUUUGAUGCAGGAGCGGAGGCCAGCGCGUUGAUGUCUUUGGCUUGGGCCAUCUUGGGGUCAGAUUUGACCAUUUUGAUGCAAGACGUGUAGUCGUUGCUCUUCUUGCAGACGGAUUCGUGCAGGGAAGCGGUAGAUGCCGCAGCCGGCGGCGAAUGGGAGGUGGUUCGAUGGAGGAGCGAACAUAGAAGGAGAACGAUUAGCGUUGUGUACUUGGACGCCAUUUUUGAAUUUUGAAUUUUUUUUAAAAAGGUUUUAUAGGAUUGGUGAUUGGAAACUAAUUUUAGAGGGAGGGGUUUUAUUAG